CGUGUGUGCGUGCGUGUGUGUGUGUGUGUGUGUGUGUGUGUGUGUGUGCGUGUGUGUGUGUGUGCGUGUGUGUAGUGGGGACAGAGGCAGUGAGUGAGAGCUCGGCUCUGACUUUGUUUCCCCACAGAUAUAAAGUGAGCAGUAAUGAGGCCCUGAGCUGCCGGGCUGAGGAGACAGAGAGUCCGCCGGGGAAGGAGGAUGAGGAUGAGGAUGACGUGGACCACCACAUACGACUCGCACACACACUCCCGCAAAACUUGAAGCAAUUACAUUGUUUUUUUCUCAAUAUGAAAGUGCGCCCUCUUGACAGCUCCUUACUUUGUGUUCGUGUGUAAAUCCAUUCUGUGGCGCCUACAUCAUGGCAGCGAGUGAAUCACCAUGUCAUCUGUUAUGGCAUUAGCCCAGCGGUAUGCCUGCACAGUACCGUAGGUCGUUCCCAUGAAUUAUUUAACAGCGGAGGACCCCCUGACCACGUCCGGAGGCCAUAAGUUACCCACAUGUGAAGGUUAGACGCUCCCCAUCGUGUCAGAGAAGCAUAUGACUGGGCCACAAGCCACCGGCUACUAAACCUGUUACAUGGGCCCGCAUAAGCCUAUCCACCCGUGACCUGCGAGACGCCAGUUUAGACUAAUCCCCACAACUGUAAAAAAUGUUUUCUCACCCUUCAGAAGAGGAUUUCAAUUACUUUACACUUACAGCUCGUGCCGUGGCCUGAUGCUCGCGUUGCUGCCGUUGGUAAUUUUGCCCACAAGAAAAAACUCUUGGACGACCGGGCCUCAUUUAUACGCGCCGCACUCGCGUUGUCCCUUCUGAUGGGAACUACACGAGCACGCACACUGCGGAUGCACUUUGUGGUAACCUUUGUGUUGCGCUGCGAGACGCUUCCACGCGUAAGCGCGGUGAUUGUUGAGGUUAAACGCGCGUGUGCGCCUGUUCACUCGAAUACAGUACAGAGGCUGAAUACAGAGUCGCACGCGCAGUUACUUAUUAUUCGCACAUGCACACGCGCGCUCGCAUUGUGUAAGCAGAGGGCCGGAGGGCAAACAGGAGACACAGCAUUAGAACACACACACACACACGACAAACAUCACUUCCGUAGCUGAAACCUCAUCGCUCGUGCGCAGUGCUCCGGGGCAUUCACAACACAGACACACACACACUCGAAUGUGAUUAUCUCUGUUCAAUGUCUUGGACUGGGUCAUACUGGGAUAGUGACAUCAUACGGCCACCAUCACACACACACACACACACACACACACACACACACACAUACACAUCUGUAUAGCCCAGUGGACACUGACACAUGAUUCACAACUCAGUCCAAAUGGAAGUACAGUAAUUGAACACCGAGCUUUGCUGACUGUAUUGAUUGUUGUGUGUGUGUGUGUGUGUGUGUGUGUGUGUGUGUUAUUUUGUGCAUGAGUGUGUGUGUCACCUUUAUUGGUCUGCUCUACAAUCAGAAGGAACACUGGGCCAGAACCAUGUGGAACGCCAUUAUGGCACAUUUAUUGAAUGUAUACUGACCGUAGAUGUCUCGUAUUAUCACGUAUCAAACAAGUUGUCAUUGGCAUUUCCAGACUUUCCCUGUUUGCCAGACCUGCGCGACUUUGGACUGUGAGGGGAACCGGAAAAGACACAAAUGUCCCACCGAGGAGUCUGAGGGGCCUAGAUUUGAUCUGCGACACGUCCUGCUGGGAGGAGCCACGGGCUAAAGGUUCCAUCACUGUCGGACGUCCAGUGGGCAGCACAGGACCUGUAGCACUCGUGGGUUCAUUGUAAAGGACACGGAGGGGAACAGCUUCGCCAACACUACGUAGAGAUAAAACACAAACUCCUUAUUGCUUGUGUUCGGCAUCACUUAAAAUGAAUUGGUCUGUUUAAGAAACCAGAACCUUGUACUAAUGACAUGUGCUGUGGGGUAAUAAACAUCCUCUGCUCCCAGGAAAAAUUAUUGUGGUGUAGCGUUUUAAUGAAAAACUAUUAAUCAUUCAUUGUCAUUCUCUCCAUUUAAUAUGUUCAGGGGGAGAAUUCCUGCACGGGCUUUUUUAUUCCACUUAAAUUACCAGCCAGCCUCCCAGACCCCAAUUUUUUAUAUCAAUUCCAGAACAUUGUCCUAGAUACUCCGCCGUUUCCAUCAGGUCUAAUUAUUUCAUUUGUGGAGCAAAAGCCUGUUUGUACUAUACAUUUGGAUGGAUUGUGCAGUAUUGUAUAUGAGUGUUGUUAUAUGUUUUCAAUAGCUGCAGUAAAAUCGAACACACUUUUGUGUUUUCAAUAUGUUUGGAUAUGUACAUACAUCCACUCUCAUUUCUUUUUCCCGGUACCUUUGAUCCACUCGAGUUUUACAGGUGAGCUUUCCAUAUGUGACAAUCUCUUUCUUCCCCGAAGAUCGAAAACCCCGUUGCAACACACAGUAUGUGUAAAGCCACACGCGAGCCCGCCUUUUUGCACAAAUGCACUUUCGCACAACACGUUGCCGUCGCUAACGCGGACAACCCCGAGGCAGUUACCAUGACAACAUACGGUGUGAAUCCGGCAAGUCUUGCGUCCACGGUCUGUAAUGUGAUGCUUGACAAUGACUGGUGCCAUAUUCGUUUGAAUGUACAGCGUAAAGGAGGUGAUUAAAUCCAUUGGGUUUCAUACAGACGGUUGAUACAACAUUUCAAAGCCGCUGGCGUCACAAUGUGCCCAUUCUUGUGUCUGCAGGAAUGUGUUUGAAAGAGGUGGAAAUGAGAAAGUGUGUAUUUCUGUGAGAAGAGGUUGACAUCACAGUGGUUGUGUGUGUGUGUGUGUGUGUGUGUGUGUGUGUGUGUGUGUGUGUGUGUGUGUGUGUGAGUGAGAGAGAGAGAGAAGGAAAGUUUUGAGUUAUUGAAUAAUCAUGCUGUACCAGAUUGAAAGCAGCCACUCUGUCUCGCUGCUCUGUAAUCACUAAAUGCCGUUUGGGAAGUGACCGUAAGCUCUUCAGACCACCUACGUGUUUCACAAUCAGACCGAUGAAUAAAAGAUUUGUGUUUUAAGUGCCCCCAUUUGGAAUUCAAAACGAGCGGGGAUGUGGGAACGUGGUGGAACGCAGCCAAAAACAGGACGGAACACCGUUUGCGGCGACUCCUGCCGCCCCUCCUCGUGUCCUCCACGCCACUUGGGGAGGGGGAAUUGAGGAGCUGCUGCUGUCAGUGCAUUGCUCACCGUCUCUGCCUUUGAACAGGGAGACAGGGGAGCAGGCGCAAAACUUAUUUCCAAUCUUGUUGUUUAAGCCAUCACCUCAAAAAGGGCUGCAAAGGACUUUCUCUCCGCGCACGCCACAACCACCCACUCCACGCAGUUGCCUGGUCCGUCCGAGUCUGUUGAUUUUUUGGGACCCAGACCCAUGCAAACACAGUUCUGCAGCUCUUUAAUGAGCCACCUAUGACGUUGCGAGCCGGACAGAUUAAACACCUUUAAAAAAGGCAACAUGAAAGGCAGUGAGGUAGAGAACACCAAAAUUGGAUGGAAAAAGUUAGUGAUGAAACCUUUUUGCUUUCUGCUGUGUUUCUCUGAUGUACUUUGAUGUCCUCCCCCGUCGCAACAGAUCUAAGAGCAGAUGGCAGCGUUUAAUGUCACAGAGGAUUGGAUCAGAUUUAUUUUAUUGACUUGACAACUAGUUUAUAAAGAGAACAUUAAAGAGGAAAAACUGCAAGGAGGACGGCGAGUGAGCAAGAGAAAGAGAGAUAAAAGUCAAACUUCAUUUAGUGCUUAAUGGAAUUUCUGGGCAGCCAGUGUAUUCAGAUGCAUAUUCAAAACCCAAUAAUAAAACCCAGUCAAAUACAGUACUUUCAUAUAUGACAUUUCAUCCAACAAAUGCACUCAUUAGUGUGUUAAUGUGUUGCUGCCACGCCAGCAAAAAAAAAAACGGACCAGUAUAACAUUAUGUCAUGAGAAAAAAGUUGUUAUAAUAAGACGUUUUUGGUGUUAUAGGAUAUUCAUACAGUAUUCAUGGUAUUAUGAAAUAAAAACACAUCGCAUUAUAAAAA